rnacentral:rRNA from 1 species
AUUGAACGCUGGCGGCAGGCCUAACACAUGCAAGUCGAGCGCGCGGCGGACGGGUGAGUAAUGUCUGGGAAACUGUCUGAUGGAGGGGGAUAACUACUGGAAACGGUAGCUAAUACCGCAUAACAUCAGAUGUGCCCAGAUGGGAUUAGCUCGUGGGUGGGGUAACGGCUCACCUAGGCGACGAUCCCUAGCUGGUCUGAGAGGAUGACCGGCCACACUGGAACUGAGACACGGCCCAGACUCCUACGGGAGGCAGCAGUGGGGAAUAUUGGACAAUGGGCGCAAGCCUGAUACAGCCAUGCCGCGUGUGUGAAGAAGGCCUUCGGGUUGUAAAGCACUGUCAGCGGGGAGGCGUUACCCGCAGAGGAAGCACCGGCUAACUCCGUGCCAGCAGCCGCGGUAAUAC